UGGCUGUAUUGUUCCACACUCGCCGCCCCCAGCGCGCGGCGCCCGGCCGCAGGGCGCUCUGCUUGCCGGGGUCCCCCCGCCGCCGGGCCCCGCGACGAGGCCCGAGCCUUCCAGCGCGCGGGGAGACGCCUCUGCCCGGGGGUCCCGGCUCCGAGCACGGGCCCGCUCAGGGUCAUGGCCGCGGGACGCCGCCGCCGAGAGCCGCCGCGCGGAUGCCGGGGCGCCCCUCCGUAGCGGGGCGCAGCCUCCUCGUCUCCCGCCCGGCCGGCCGCAUGGGGGGCGGAGGGUCGGCCCUGAGGGUCUGCGCCGACCACCGCGGGGGCAUCAACUGGCUCAGCCUGAGCCCGGACGGGCAGCGCCUGCUGACGGGCAGCGAGGACGGCACGGCCCGGCUCUGGAGCACCGCGGACGGCCAGUGCUGCGCGCUCCUGCAAGGGCACGAGAGCUACGUGACCUUCUGCCAGCUGGAGGACGAGGCUGCCUUCACAUGCAGCGCUGACCGCACCAUCAGAAAGUGGGACGUGCGCACCGGGCAGUGUCUGCAGGUCUUCCGAGGACACACGUCCAUCGUGAACAGGAUCCUGGUCGCCAACAACCAGCUCUUCAGCAGCUCCUACGACCGCACAGCCCGAGCCUGGAGCGUGGACAAGGGACAGGUGGCUCAGGAGUUCCGAGGCCACCGCAACUGCGUGCUGACCCUAGCCUACUCCGCGCCCUGGGACCUGCCCGGGGCUCCCUGUGCCGAGGAGGUUGGGGGGCUCCUGGUGACGGGCAGCACGGAUGGCACGGCCAAGGUGUGGCAGGUGGCCAGCGGCUGCUGCCACCAGACGCUGCGGGGCCACACGGGAGCCGUGCUCUGCCUUGUGCUGGACACGCCCAGUCACACCGCCUUCACCGGCAGCACCGACGCCACAAUCCGCGCCUGGGACAUCCUGAGCGGGGAGCAGCUGAGGGUGUUCAGGGAGCACCAGGGCUCUGUCAUCUGUCUGGAGCUGGUGAACCGGCACGUGUACUCGGGCAGCGCCGACAGGACGGUCAAGUGCUGGCUGGCAGACACCGGGGAGUGCGUGCGCACGUUUGCGGCGCACCGGCACAGCGUGAGCGCCCUCAGAUACCACGCGGGCACCUUGUUCACGGGCAGCGGGGACGCCCGCGCGCGCGCCUUCGACGCCCAGUCCGGAGCGCUGCAGAGGGUGUUCCGCGGCCACGCCUUCGUCAUCAACUGCAUCCAGGAUUGUGGUUUUGUACCUUUGCUUUCGUACUGUUAAUUGUUCCUGGACCUGACUCACAUUUCUGGCUAAGGAUGCCAUCCCACACUGUAACCGUGGCUCCACGGGCAAACGAAGCCCCCUCGAACAUGACCUCCAGAAAUCUACCAUGGUGAGGGGAGAGAGAGGAGAGGCAUAGACAGGCCGCCUGGAUCAUGUACAUGGGAGCUACGGCCACCACCACAGCGAAUAAAACUAAGGAAACUGCACUGCCUGGAAAGUAAUGCAAUUAAAAAGGACAAGUUUCUCCUGCUUCUUCCCAGUCUGAAUAGAGAAGUAUAAAGCGCUCCCUGUGAUUAGAACUACCACAGAACAAUCUCUUUCUCUUCCUUCAUACCCAAGAGCUAUAUAGCAUUUUGCAAAUAGGCUUACUAUCGCCUCAAGUUUCACGCCUAUGCCAAGGCUGGGACCCAGGGUCGCCGAGAAUGCACUGAGAUACCUCUCUGCGGCUGCUGAUGUGGGCGGCCGCGUGGUCCACGUUCCCGUCACAGGCCCUGAGGCCAAGCCGGGCUUCCUGGGCAGUAAACCCCAACUGCAACAGAUUGUGAACUUUCGAUGGAUCGAUAUAUAGCUCUUUAAAGAGCUGGCGUGCCUACAGACAAGAGAAAAACACAAGAACCCUGUAACUUUAACAACAUUAGAGCUUAACACAAAGCUAAAACCCGGAAAGAAUAAGCUUGUACCUGAUAUGAAUUAAGGGGCAAAAGUGCACGCCUAAAACGUUUCUAUCUUCACGUACCACUAAGGGCAAAAGUAAAGAUCCCAGAGGACGAGGACAUCCCCCGCGCCAUCAGGGAAGAAAUGGUGCCAGGACUCCUGGGUGCCUGGUCCUUCCGGUCAGUAAGGAAGUAGACCAAAGCCCAAACCGGGGAUGCUUUACACUGCUCUGAGAUUUCCAAGCCGAAUUCUGAUGACUUGUGGAAAUCCCCUUAGAAAAAUCCUUAUUCGAAUCACAGCUCUUGAGCUCUGACUCACUCGUGUCCACGGCUACCGUUCAAAAUGUCUUUUUCUGCAUUUAAAUCUUCCAUGAAACUCUACUGAACACAGUCACCAGCUCUCUCGGCCGGGGUGAUCAUCGACGGGGUUCUAGGGCUGGACAACUUGGGCUUCCAGCUCCACCCCGCCCAGACCGAAGUGACAGCCCAACCUGCAACACGUUCCGCAAUCCCGUGAGAGGACAGCUGGACGAGCGCCACGCACGCUACUGUCGAAUCACCAUUGGCAGCAGUCAGCAUUUGUUAUCAGGAAUAAACUCAAAUGGUAGAAACGGGCUCAAUAAUACACAAAAGAAAUCAGAGUAACAUACUUUUAUGUGGACCAGUCUCUGGUGGUUUUCUCCGUAACAAUUCUUAAAGCAUUUCUGAGCCAAGUUUAAUUUCUUUUCCGCGUCGUCAAGGCAUUCCAGCUGCUCCAGGCGGAAGUAGCACCACACGAUGUCCAGCUGCAGCACGGCGUAGUUGUCCACGGUGUCCAGCAGCUCCCUGCAACACUCGCUGCGGGCGCGAGAGGAAAGGACGUCACAGAGGAGGAGCGUUAAAGACCUUUUUGUGGAUCGCUGCAAGUCUUCCCCAGGUUCUGCUGUUAUUCCCAAAGACCGACUGCUCCAGAGCACAGACCCCAGUGUCUACGAAGGGAGCCGUAUUCAUCAUCCGAAUUCUCCCAAUGGGUAAAAGGCAGUUAGGGCUCAGGAAUAAUGGUUUAACACACACACACACCCUUGCUACGCUGGGAGCGAGGUUCAGCAGGGAGUGGAAAACUGACGUCACUGCAUCAGCAAACAUGAGGUCAGCAAACUUGAGGCGGCCAUGGCUUAAAGCAAAGGUUUCCAGCCCUGACUGUGAAUCAGAAUGAGCUGCGAGUGAGGAAUUUUCUUCUUUCUUUGGUCCCCACUGGUGCUGGGACCCCAUCUACAUCAAACUGUAACAGAAGCCUCUGGAGACAGCGCCUGGAUGUUUUGUUCUGGAAAUCUCCCCAGGUGACUCUAAGGUACAGCCAAAGUGGGGAACUAGUGCUUUAAAGACCCCCC